GUUUGCACUCAUCGGGGAAGGGUGAGAACCUUCGACUAAGGUUCGAUUCGAGCGAAAGCGAGAGAACGUUGCCACAGGCAACGGCCCGAAGGGUGAGGAGCGAAGCGACGAAUAAUCCUUCCCCACCACCA
rnacentral:sRNA from 1 species